CUGCCUUUCCUUUACUGGCUUUCUUUACUACCUUUUUACCCCCUUUCAGGCAUCAGUUGCCUUCAUGAGCCUUUUUUUUGUGAUAAGUUACUAAAAAACGUAACUAGUUUGGGUUCCCCACCUAAAUACCUUAACAGAGAUCCUGUGAUACUUGCCUUUCUCCCUCUUCUGUAAGGCUUUGCUGUGAUUAAUGAAAAGUUCAAGCAGUUUAUUUAAUGACUAUUAUUUUUUUUCUGAGAUUCUUUUCUCUUCACCCUCUCAGCAUGUGUGACCUAUGCAGUUUCCUUGUGCUUUGUUUCUUUAGACAUUCUUCAGAAUAAAAAAUAACUUUGCUCUGACUUGGACUUUGAACCCUUUGCAAUGAAAUCAAGUUAGUUUGCCUGGACUUAACUGGUUGGGAUCUUAGGGGCUUCUACUGUUUUCUGUGUAGGACAUACCAUAGCUGAUUAAAAUAGAUUUGAUAUUUUUUGAGGGGGUCUAAUCCUUGAGAUCAGCAGUUUGAUUUUGAUCUCUGAUUUAUAGCAGUAUCACAAAGUUGUAAGGUAUCAGUGCAGUCUGACACUCACAGGAAACAUUGUAACUACACUGGGGGGUUUAGCUGGGGUUUAUAAAUCAUAUAAAAUAUAUCUGAAUGUAGAGUCUAUGAAUGCAGCUAAGUUAUUCACUCUCCUCAGUUUUAGAGAAAGGGAGAAGAUAGAAAAAUACAAUUUAAUGAUAUUCUGUCACAGUUUCCAGAACCAGGACUAAACAUGAUCACACACACAACUAUAUAUAUGGCACAUACAUAUGUAUUUAUGCAAUUCUGGACGUGUUCUCUGGCCUUAAUUCAUUAGGUUAUUAAUAUGCAUGCCAUAUGCUGCAUAUCUAUACAUGCACCUAUUUAACAUAUGAUAAAAAUUAUACAUGGGCAAAAAUGCCUUGCACAAUUUGUGGUCUGAGUUACAAGAUUUAUGCCAUGUGAAUGUCUACAGUGUGGUAUUUUAAGUUUCUCCAUUCCUCUGCUGUCCUAGUAAGAGGUGGCUGCUCUAGAAAGCUCUCUAAGCUUUCCACAUCGAGACAUGCCUCUAGUAAUCUCCCCAAAAUGUGAUGUCAAUGGAGAUGCAGCUGGUUAAAGGGCUACACAGGGCAAAAAGUGGUAUUAGUGGCUAAUAAAAGCUAAUUCUUUUGCAAGCAAAAUUAGCUCGCUUCACUUGCUUGUUAUGACUUGAAGUGUCUGGCCAUUGAACUAUGCAUCUGGCUCAUUUGUUGCUCUCAAAGAGUUAGCGCCCUGACUGACAGCUGUACUGGACUGGAAGAAAGUAUCCCAAAUGAAUAAGAACAAGAGGACUUCAGUAUGUGUGACUUUAGGACAGUAGCAACUCAUGCAAACAGCCUUAAUAAGCAAAAGAGAUGAACCUGACAAAGACUGUGUGUGAUAUGGAUUCUGGCUCAGGGCAGCAAUUUUCCUUAAAUGACUGGUUCCUGAUGCUUAACUUUGUUGCCUGCAGAUGCUGCAUCCCACUCCCAGUAUACACAACUACCAAAAAGACACAAAUGUCCAAUAGCUGGUCAGAGCAACCCUAAAUAAUUUCCAGAAGACUAAUUUCAGGCAAGUCCCAGAUCUUUUUGUGACACUCUGAAGUGAUUUAAGCUGCACCAGAAUAGCCAAAGCUCUGUGGAUGUGUGUGUAUUUUUACUCAGUGAUGUUUUGGGGUAAAUGCCACAUCAGAGUUUUUAUUAUCAAGUUCCUUUUCCUGCACAAUGCAGCUGUACCUAUUAUAAACUCCUUCAUCAAAGGGGAUAACUUCCUUUUUUUUUUUUUUUUUUUUCUCAAUCUCAGAUCAGUUUAUCCAGAGCAGUUGUCCCUGACUUCCUUAAACUUGCCCUGCAUCAAAGCUUUUAAAAAGAGUCUUCUAUGCAUCCUUUCUUUCCUUAGCACUUACUUAAAAAUGUGUGAGUACACGCACACACAUGUCCAUGCAUAUUUCAAUCAGUUUCUGCUUCAGUCCUGCAGCCUUGUGCCUGAUCGGACUGGCAAAAGACCUAUGGAAAAGAUUGUUGCCAGCAAGCAGUGAAGUAUGUGUUCCCCCAUGUACUUUGAGUGCUUCAGAAUGGUUUUAAUGCUUUCUUUAUGUGUGAGAAAAUUGUUCAAACUUCAAACUGUCUGAUAAUACCACGCAGACAAAUGUGCAUUAAGAUCAGGAUUGAUUACUUUUUUCACCAUGAUAUGGUUUUUGCAGGUGAUUUGAGACUCAGUGUUAAUGCAGAUCAUUGAGAGUGAGAGCUGGUGAUGUUGUCUUUCAUGCUGUUAAACCCUUGAAUGUUGUUCCUGGAUUACAAGAGUAUAGAAACCACAUGGAAAUAUUGGUUUAUGUUCAUAAGUAAAUUCGGGUCUCAAACUUCUCUUCAUCAUCAAACAUUAUUUGAGGCCCCUGUGAAGUGCUGCCACUAACGCUUUGGCAGAGGCUGGAACAAGAAAGGAAAUCUCCCAAGAGGAGACUCAUAGGUCCAACUCAUUACCCCCAAAGUGACAUAGGAAAGAACUACUACCAUGUAUAGAAAUAUGAUGCCUGCAAUUGGGCUUUUGCAUCUACAUUGUUUUGUUCCCUUGUGAAAUUUUUUAGGAUUAGCAAUGGUUGGGUACAGCGUUGAUGCCCAGCCCUGUGAGAGGCUGAGAUGGUGAGACAAGGGUAUGAAUGCUCUUUGCUUACUGAGGAUCUCAGGAAAUCACGCAAGAUGAAACUCCCAGUAUGUUCUUCUCACACCAGAAGAGACUGUUCUCACAGAGAGAAUGUAAAGGCUUUUUGAUCCAAUGCUAGACAUAAAGGUAUACCUAAGUAACGUGGAGAGGAGUUGAACUUAGUCUUUAUAAACUACAACUUUGCACAUUUAAAUAAUAAGAAUUGCAAAAGAGAGAUCUUGUAACAACCAGGAUAGUAGAGAUGAGAACUGGAGCUAAUGUUAGAUCCAGAACAAAACUAACCAAGCAAGAAAGCAUUUGGCGAGAUGAGUUGCUUGCCAGGUUACAAGAAAAGUUCCUGCUGAAGAGCACCCCUCUGUUUAGGUGCUGCUACAAUUACAAUGGCAGAAAUGCACCAACACUGCUGACCAUGCUGAUAUUGCAGGCAACAGCUGCAUCUGCUCUGAGUAUUGAGUAUGGAAGUAUGAGGACCAGGUAUUACCAGCAAAGACUGGUGGAGAACUUAUGAAGAUAUUUUGACCUCACUAAAAAGUCAUAAUAGUCUGUUUCUUGUUGGAUCAGACAGUUUCUCUGAAAGGAAUCAAAAAUACUGAAAUAAUGUUGGUGUUCACCUGUUCUUGUGUCUGCUCCCGUUAGCUUUUACCAUUCAUCUUCUCAAUUUGUGUCACCUAGUAAACUAAAUCUUAAUUUUGAAUCCAGUACAGGAUGUUAGAGGUUGGAAUCCUGUUCAUCUUUUUCUCCCUAUGGGUAUACUGUGGCCAGUGCUACUACCUUUCCCUCUGCUUUGCCUGCUGAAGAAAUUCAGCUCUAUACAAAUACUCUGGAUUGUGUUCUACUCUUACCAUUGUACCUAACUGCUCCCAGUUCUUCUUGGUGCCUCCUUAUGAAAGGCAAAAGCCAUGUUCAAACCUCUCUUGCUUCUACAAUAUCCACACUUUCUCCUGCUCUAACUCGACACCUGAACCUUUUUUUCCCUCUUGCUUUUCAGUCCUUGGUUGGGGGUGAACAUACCCACCACCACCACUCACACCAAAACCAAACCACCAUGCUAUACCAACAGCUGGCAGUGGUGCAGUUGUCCCAGUGCUCAGCUGAUAAAACCAACAAUGCUGAAGCAUUUCUGGUUUUGCUCUUUGAACUCCUUCUCAGAGAUGGUUUCCUUAUUUGUCUCAUCAGCACUGAUUUGCUUUGUGCUCUGAGCACAAUUGUGGUGAGAGUCAUGGCAGCUAGAUCUCCGUUUUUACCUAGCAUAGGCAAGGCAGCAAUGAUGACUGCCACUCCCUGUUUGUUUGUUUGUUUAUUUAUUUAUUUAUUUAUUUAUUCUUCUUGGCAAACUUCCCAGAAACAUGUGUACCUAAUUGUAAUUUACUCUCUGUGGUCAUCAGCAAUAUCUCAGCUUUUAGUAUCUCAACAGCGUCUCUGCAUUUAACUCUGUAUGUGUCUAAGGCCUCACCUGCUCUCAUACAGAGCAACUCACUCUUACAAUCAGGUUGAAUAUAUGCAGCAGCAAUGAUGGCACUUAGUGUGCAUGCAGUUAAUUCCCUCCUCAUUUGCUGCAUGAUGUGACUUAAGAAGAAGAAAAAAAAAAGCCAAAGACAAAAACAAACCAACAAAACCCCAAUCACCUUGUUUUAGUAAAAUAGUAUUACUUUCUGGGUAAGGCUUCCUUUCCUUCCUUAUGAAGAACCAUGAUGCCUGUACAUCUAGUAUAUCACAUUAGAGCUGUUAUUGAGUUUUAGGCAGAGGAGUGGUUGUCUGUCAAAAUGCUUCAAAAGAAACCAUGAAAUGAGCAGGUUGUAAAUCCAGGAGCAGCACAAGAGUGGGAAUAUGAGACCUGCAAUAUGUAAUAUGAGUCUUUUAGUCCAACCUCCCCUAUUUCCACCCUGGUGCUAAAUAUACUGCUGAUGUCCUUGCAAGAAAACAAAUGCACUGAGCUUGGAAAGGCAGUGGACACCGUUAGUUUAGGGGUUGUUUUCAUUUCUGCAAGUUUCAUGGAUGAUACAUUAAAGAGAGGCCAAAUUCUUGUAAUCAUGUGUUUGGUGACUAUGGUGGUGAAGUUUUGCAAAUAUCAGGUCAUCUUAUUCAAAUGUCUAAUUUUUAAUCUAGCAUUUCAUUUUUAAAAUAUAUUUUCAAUUAAAAAAGAAUGACAACUUUUAAUCCAGGUAUAUGUCUUGCUCUUCAGAAACUUUGAUUUUAGAUUAAGAUAACUAAAAUCUGCAUUUGAAGUGCAUGAAUAACUGUUGUAAAGUAGGAAGGUUAUUUCAAAAUGUUUAACUUGCCUGCAGCAUUUGUUUUAGAUAAGUCAGCAGUAGCUUGCUAACCACUGUUGCGUUGUAUUUUACACAGGAGAGAGAUAACCACCCUUGUGAGUCCUGGAACGAGCCUUUUCCUACUGUUGGUGAAGCCCUACAAUGAGCUUACUGCUGGCUGAAUGCAGAGAAUCUCCUCAUAUUUCCAAGUUGUAGUACCUCAAUCUACAAAACUGUGAGGAAAUGAAAUCUGUAGAGCUACAAGUAUUAUCAUGACCACUUUUCUUCAGUAAGGACUCGAACAGCUUUAACUCACUGAUAGUGUCAUUUCUGCCUUGUGGGCUUGAAAGCUCAAUGAGAAGACUUUCCCAUGCCACAGAGAAGAACAGAAUAGCAACAGUUCUGUUGUUCUGCAAGUGACACGAACAGGGAAAUUAAAUGCCUCUGACCUCCAUUUGGUCUCAUGCACGUAUGUACCCCCCUACCCUGCUUCGUGCCACCACUUCCCUGCCAUCAGCACCUGACGUCACCUCUGGUGGGUCACAGUUCUGCCUGCUGCCCCACCGGCCAGGCCUGGCAUUCAGCACCCCCUGCUCAGUCACUGCAGGGAACAGGCCAUGCUUGUGCUGCUGUCUUCCCCUCUGAACAUUUCUUUGGAACCACAUGUGCUCAAGUUUGUAACUACGGAUGUCAGAUAAAGUGCAAGAAGGCCUCGGCGUUGGAAGCAUUUGCUUUUGAAUGUGGCAGUCUGUGUUUCCCUCGUUCCUUCCCCUCCACCACCAAGAGAGGAAACCGCAACGACAGGAAGAGUGCACUAUUUCCUCUCGAAGAGACUCACUGCUGCUGUCAGUAGCUCACGUUUACCAGAUUUUGCUCUUUUGGUGUUGAUGCACAUUCAGCUGCACAAAAGGCAAGACUUACCUGUACGUUUUAUGUCACUUAAAUAGGACAUUUUGGUAGAGGAAGCAGUUGAGUCAGGCUACCACAGUUGACCAUUCAGGCAGUGCUGCUGGCUUCUAGUUGUGCUCCUUCUGUGCUAUUUUUGUGCUAUUUUUUACCUGUUUGGAGUAAUUUAUUUAUAUAUAGGUAUAUAUCACAUGACAAGAAUUUGGGGGAUUUUCUGGAGCUAAUAAUAUUCUCACAAGACUUGCACUGAGAAGGCAGAAGAAAAACCUCACCAAAAGAAGCUCUGAGGGAACUUUAGAAAAAAGGUCCAAACACAUUUGAUGUUCUUCUCGAAACACGUUUCUUCCUGUAGAGAGCACACUUCAUUACCCUUGUUGUGCCACUUCAUCACUUCUUGUUAACUUUUUAUAUUUUACCCGCUAGUCCAGUUCAGUGUUUUUUAUUCCCUAGUUUUCAGCCACUACCCUUCUCCAGUUUUCACUCUUUCUAGCUUGCAUGCAGACACCAUCUGGCUUUACCCCCGGGGUUUCCUAGACAAGGGCAAUCUAGUUAGCCUUGUGAAAUCCAAACCCCAGGCAAAACAAAAACUGCACAAAACCUCACAAGAUAGGUUUUCUCACUUCUGUGUGAGAAGCAUUCACAUUACCCAGAGCAACUGUAAGAAAAGAAAUCACAUCCUGAACAGUGAGUUAUCAUCUCAACCAACCUACUCUUUUCCACGUUUUUUUUUUUUUUUUUCUUUCAGUUUACUGGAGUUAGUACAACCCUUUUCCAGUCAAGAGAAAGUUUGACCAGCAUGUGUGUAAUUACAGAGCAUCACAGUAGAAUAUCAUGUAAGGAACUCUCUAUAAAGAAGCUUGGAAUAAAGUAGAUUGAGAACAGAUUUAGUAAAGAAAUCAGGAAGUCAUUCCAGUGUUCUUUUCUUUUCUAAAUAACAUAUUGCAAAUAAAAUCUCUGAGGCAAGAUUCUGGACAAAGACAUUCCUUUGAAAAGAGACCACAAGAUUCCUGGUCUACUUAAUGGAUAAAACAGAAAGAAUUGGUCUCAGUCUGGGACACUCAAAAUGCUGAUCUUUUUGAACAAUGUGGACAAGUACAGAAUAUUGUCCAAUGUAUUCAUCCUUGAGCAGAAAUAAACUAAAUUUCUCUGUGCUCUGCCUGUCUCAUAGGAGCUGAAAAGAACCCCUCCCUUUCUUUUUUAUGUUUGCAUGUUUCCAGAGUUUCCAGAGGAAUUCACUUGGGCAAGGCAUUUCAAGCUGUAUAUCUGAUUUUCCCUAAGAAAUUAUGAUCUAGUUGCAAAGUUCAGAGGUUUGGUGCCAGAGAUUCUUUUAUUUAUGGUUUUAGGAAUCUAAAGUCAGUAGGCAACCGUGUACAUACAUAGGUGUAAUUCCCUAGUGUUGGUCACAGAGUGAGGACUGAGGUGAGUUCACAACAAUGCAGGCUUCCCAGCUUCUGAACUAUAAACACUUGAUUUUUAUUUUUCAUCAAAUUUGUUGUAUUUUGCUGUCUUCUCUGACUUCAUAGUUCAUUCUUGUUUGUUUUCACAAGAAUGACACAAGUCAUGACCCUCCUCUGAUGGCAUAGGUGCAGUGAAAUGAGGAUGAACAAGUUUUCUUCUGGUGUACACUAUGAAAAGAAUGAUGAAGGAAUCAAAAUUGAGACAAGGAAACUGUGUAAAAUCAGCUCCCUCUCUCCCCAGUCAGAAAAUUGUAUCCAGCAAAAGGGCAUUCUUUGAUUGCUUAAUAUGAAGAUGCACAGAUCUCUGCCCUCAUCCAGCAGUGUCUGCUCCUGGGAAUGCAUAACCACCCUAUGGUGCAUCUGUUGGCCUCUUUGUUGGCAUCUUUCUUGUCUCUGAGUUCUCAUGAAUUUUCGGCAAUGAGUCCAUCUGGGAAUAAUUUCAUUGUGAGAAGAAGGCUUCCAUUCUAUCAAGAAAAAAGGCUGCAUGGAAAUCACGGAAAGCUACAGAAGAAAGUAUCGGCCAUUGUUUGAAAGCAUUGUGGCCUGUGAAGAUGGAAACCAGAAAGGGGAUUUGCCUCCAAAUUUUAUAAGCUUCUAGAAACUCAAAUGAUGAGAAACAAAUGUGAAAAAAAAUCACAAAAGUAGUGGUUACUAAAAAAAAUAAUUAUUAAAACCCUGUUGCUUUUAUGAUGAACAGACCUGGUUAGAAGGAUAUUAAUUGUCUGGAAUACCAUCGUUUAAACAGGUGGAGAUAUUCCCAGUAUUUUUUGGUUGCUUCCUAGAUUAGUAUUAAACUUCUCAGUUGCUAACAAUGAAGUUAUCAGCCACUGGAACAAAUUAUUGAGGAACAGUGAGCUUACCAUUUCUUGAAGUCUUCAAACAGAGUGGAUGGUAUACUUUAGCAAACAAUGGAGACACACAGCUGGGUGAAAUUAUAUGGUUGUACUAAAAACAGGGAACAUGAGAUAUUGUAUGUGGUCCUUUCUAGCCUUAACAGCUAUGGAUCUAUAAUUUCACAAAUACCAUUACAAAGCACUCCUCAGAUGUAGUGAUGACCAUGGCAACAAUCUGAGUGCAACUCCUGAUUUGGGGUAGAUUAUUCUAAAGUAUUUUGAGAAAUUACAGACCUAUAAUAGAGUUUCUACAUGGUACUGUCACUGCGCAGUCAUUUUACUAUCAUAAAGGAGCACUGUAAUUUUAUAUUAGAAAUCCCUUUUUGAGGACUAAAGAGACUCAUGCUCUCCCCAAAACCGCUCAUUGUACUUCAGUUCUUUAACGAGCAUAUAAACAAGUAAGCAUGCAUACUGCUGCUUUCUUGAUAUAUAUUUCAGCCAUUACAACGAGAAAUAAGUAUGCACAAUUUACUCAGUGAAAUAAAAAGCAAUCCACACAAGAAAUUCUAAGAUAUUUCUCAUUAAUGUAGACCAUUUCUAAGCUAAAAUAAUUUUCUCCUCCUUGUAGUGUGAUCUGGCAUACUGAUUAAAAGAGAAUAAUUUUCCAUAACUAGUCCUGCAGUUGAGAACAGCUAAACCAUUUUUCCCCAGAUUUCUAAUAUCUUUGGGCAUUGUUCACUGUCAAAAUUUAAAUACAGUGGGAUAGUUGGAAGUUUGGGAAAGGUAUAACUGACUGAGCAGUUGGGCAUGAACAGAAAUAGUUCUUCAACUUUGAGAAGUAUUUUAUUUUUCUAUAAAGAGAGAAGGAAUUUAUUGACUGCAUGCUUAGAAGGAAGACUGUGCCAUUUCAUGAUAGCUCUCGAACAUCAUAUUUAAAACUUCAUUUUUAACUUUGAUUUAAAAAAGAGAAAAAAAAAAACACAACAAAACAGUAGCCAACACUAAAAAAGACUUCAAGUUAUAUGUAUAGCAUAUUCUAUUAUCAUCAUCACCAUGGCGGUCACAAAACGGUAUUCCUUCAAUAUGGUUAAACCAUCUCAUUAAUCUUAAAACAAAAUUACUGUGGUGCCAGCAUGACUUCCACCCAGAAACGUGAGUUUGACAGUAUAGUUAUGACGCUUGGGAUAGUAAGACUAACUUGGAAUAGUAAGACUAACACUAGAUUUGUCAAAACAUAAUGGUGUAGUUUUUCAGCUACUUCAGGAAAAGGUGAUAGUUUAGUGUCCAGGAUGGAUAUGCAUAACUCCAGAUACGGAUUUGGGGGUGGUGGUGGUUAGAUUGUAGUUAAUGGAUAGUUACUUUUUUUUUUUUUUUUUUUUUUUAAUUGUUUCUCAAACUCUCUUUCUUGCUCAUUUCUUUUAUACUUGCACAUUGUGCCUAAAUAUCUCCACAAUUUCUCAGCUGGAGGGCUGUCUCGAAGACAUGCUUUAGCCAAAUGCAUAGCGUGUGCCUCUCAUAUAUUAGGAACUGAGCACAGCAUGAGAGCCCAGUAAAAUCUGACUGCUUGUCAUAUGCGGGAAUUCAGAUUGCUUUAUCAAGCAGUCUUUUCUGAUCUUAAGUUCCAUAAAUUUAUGACUUGUGCUUAUUCAGAUAAGUUAAUUUUUUUUCUUGCUACUCUGUUUUGUACUUUGGGGAAAAGAUGAUUGGAAAAACUGGAUGCUGCAAAAGGGAAGUUGCCCCUGACUUCUCUUAAGCUUUUCAAAUAUGGUAUCCUUUAUUUUUAUUUUAUUUUUUUAAUUUUUAUCUAGUUUCUCAUAACAGUCUCAGCAUGAACAGUGACUAAUUUAUUUGUCAGGCAAAGGCCCUAAUAAAAUAUAGGUAUGUAUGUUUAACACACCAAUUUUGUGAAUCUACUAGAAGAAUUUUGUGUUGACUUGGUUGAAGGAGCUCCUAAUUUUUAGUCCCUUAAGGUCAUCUGCAUAGCUCUUUUUUAGAAGUAUAAUAAUAUAUAUUAUAUUUAUUACAAUGUGGUAUAAGGAGAUAAUUGUACAUUUGAAAGUUUGGAGGUCUAGACUAUGUUUCUAUUCACCAAGGUAGUUCUCAAAGGUCACUUCUGAGCCACAAUGGUAGGAAACUGGGAAGAACUUGAACUGCUAAUAUGUUCCCUUUGUUGUGUGGAUAUACAGAAAACAGUUUUCUUAUCCCACAAUGAUGCUGUUGAUUUUGAAAUUUUAGGACUGGCAUGGGGCUCAGUGAAUAUAUGAGUGACUUAAGAAACAAACAAACAUACUUCAUUUUAAUGUUGACCUUUUUUUUUUUCCUUUUAUUUUUUAUUUUUUAAACUUUUAAUAUAAACUAAAUUAAGUUUCAUCAGGAGAAGAUGAUUUUAACCACAAAAAGAGACUUUUUGUAUUAAAAAUGUUGUAAUGGCACAUUUCUAGAAUUUCAAAACCUUUUUCUCAGAUUUUUUUGAGGACAGGAAGUUCUUCUGGGAAUAAUUUCAGUUAUGAUGAAUUGUUGGUAGUGACCAUCUCUCUUCUUCCUUUUGAAAGCCCUGUUCUCACUUCCCGCUCUAAACCCAGGCUUCCAAUACUUUCCAGAAAUCUAAUGUAUGAUUGCCUUAAUUGCAGUGUUGAUGCAUUCUGGUGAAACAUAGGUUCUGGGCAACUUGCUGUAUCUACUGGUGCAAUGACUCAAAGGCAAAAGUAUUGUGACAGUCUUAAUUGGGUUUCUUCGUUCUCCACACGUACUUUGGAUUGCAAUAGUUUUGUGUUUCGUUUUUCUACAUUUCAUGUACUGUUUUAAUUUUAAUUAUUGGUUCACAGUUUGCAAACAAGUAGGGGUGAGUUACAUGUAUGUUAGAAAUUAAUUUUGUUAAUGCACUGAACCUUUUUCUUUAUAUCUGUCUGGAAGGAUAAUGUACUGUCACUAAUGAAAAGGGUUGUGUUGAUGGGACAAAAUCUGAUGCUUUCAACAAAGGAUUAUUAAUGAACCUUAUUUUAAAAAGUCUUCAUGACCCCUACACCUGGGGAAGAAUGCAGGAUUAUUUUCAGUUUUGAUGGCAAUAUUUGCACUACCCUGGAAAUAAAUGCAUUUCAUGAUUUGACUGAAUGGGCAAUCUGUUCUGCUAGGAAGAAACUAAGGCACACAUUACCUUGCAGCCAGAGACUGAGGAGGCCUCAGUGGUGAAAGAGAAGCACCAAGGUUGGGAAAGAACAGUGCUCAUGACGAAAACAAGUUUAGGAAACCUUCUGUUACCUGACCUUCACUGCAGUUAUGUUCCCCUGAGGUAAGUGACACUGGUGACAUGUUGUAUUGCAAUAACUCAGGUGAAACAAAGGUGAAAUUUUCAAUCAUCAGUUUUCUAAAAUUAAGUACAGGUUUAUAGCUUUUCAGCCCUGAAAAUAAUUCUGCUCUUUUGUUUCACGCUUAGCUGAGAAAGAGCUGAGAUCUCCCGAUACAGAUGUUACCUUUACAUAAUAGCUUAUAUCACAACUUUUCCAUCAAAACAGUGAAAGUUGUGUGGGGAUGCCUGGCUUUACUGGGACUUCCAGCACGGUACUUACAGAAAGUUCCAGUACAACUUAUUCUGAAGCACAGACGACAGAUAUGUGUAGUUGUCUCUGUGCUCUCUCUGUAUACUCUCUUUCUCUCUCUCUCCCUCUCUCCUUUUUAAAGCAAGGUUUUGAAAUCAGAGCAAGGAGUCUAAAGUCCAACUGGAAACUGAUUAACACUGUCUCUGGGAUCAAGACAUCCUCAUUGCUAGGCAGCUGAAGGGAAAGAGGUAUUUUCCAUUUCAGUGUGUCUAUAUAUACUACGUAUUACCAGUAGCACUUCUGUGAGCAGGAGGAAUUAGCAGCAGCCUUAGCAAAGGAUCAGCACUUCUCUAUAGUCUCACAGAGACUCACCAUGCUUCAUGAUGCAUUAUUUUCUAAGUAAUAGUUCUGAAAGAAGCAACGCCUUAUCCUUCCAGCCUAGGAAACCAGAGUUCUUUUCAAUUUCCUGUGUGAAGACGUCCUUAGCAUUCAUUCAUGUUGCAAACUUGGCAGCCCAUAAAUUGCAGCUAGCAGAAUAUCCAAUUAGCCAAAUGUAUUAUGAAAAUUAAAUGCCAUACUUGAAUAUUAGCCUUCAUGUAACAGAGCACUCUUGUGUUUCAUCUGUUACUGUCUGUACUAAUAAUCAGUAGCACUCUUUUGCUGUCUGGUUCAUUUUAUGUUGUUUCAAAUCCUAAAUUUCAUGCAUCGCACUACUGUUAUUUCUGGGCUGACAUGGUACCAGUGCAUUGUAGAAGAUCAGCAGAGAGUUUUUGGCAGUGCAGUAGGGACUGACAGGGACUUGUGGUGCUGCCCUUUGCUCUUGGGAUUGAGGCAGGAACAGAGGCUUGUGAUGGGGAACAGGACUGCAUGCUGCUUUCUCUUAGGCACAAGCAGUUUGCAGCUGAAGGCAGAGGAGGUUUGGUUUCUGUGCACCUCUUGUGCACUGUGAAAGUGACUAACUGCUCUUUCAUUUUGAAACUGAAAAGGAAGCACAUCAGCUUGUGGUUCUGAUGCUAAAAUCAUUUGUUUAAAUGGUAAUUCUUGUUUCUGAAUCCUGAUGAUUUGAUUUUACUAAUUGUGAAUUUGGAGCAUUUGCAGACUGAAGAAUAUUUCAGCAGUUUCUAUCUGACAUCAGUUUUAAUGUCUUUCCUCAUGACUAUGGGGAUAAGUACUUCUCUAUAAAAAGAAUAAUGCUUCUUGUGUACAGUUAUAUGGCAAUUAAAAAAUAUGAUUAUUUGGAGGUUAAUGGUAAUAGCAGUUAACUGCAUUAUCUACUUGGCCUGCUUACAGCUGACUCAUGGCAGCAUCCUGAACCUACAGCUCCAUAAAAUGAAUGGUAGGCGUUAUAGUACAUAGAAACCUUGUUGAAAAUAAUAUUGAAAUUUAGAUAAUCUCUUAGGAGCCCUGUCUGUACUAAACUGUUACUCUGAUCAUAUUUACGGCUUGAAUUCUCACUAUCUGUUCAUUCAGAAGUAGGUUUAUGUUCUGCAACCUCAUCUUGACAUUGCAUUGUAAAAUACUUAAAUAGUAUUUUACACAUGGUAUAAAUACAUGGAUGUUGUCAAUAGAUAAUACGUCAUUGAAAAUGAAAAUAUAACUGAUCUUUUGAAUCAUAAAUGACCUUAUGAAUCAGGAAGGUGUGUAUUUUGCAAUGUUGAUUUAAACACCAGCCAGAAGAAGGGACAGUGCAGGUAAUUAAUAUCAAUAGAUAGGUUUAUUUCAUUUUAAGGACAAAACAGAAGCACUGGAUUCACAACUUUACUAUUGGCUGCAUCAACUAAGAAAUGAUACUCAUGACUUUUUCAGGUACUUGAACAAGCUUAUAUACACUACAAGCUGACCAUGAGCCCUUUCUGUUUAUUAGAAAAUUGUAUACUUAAUACUUGAAGAAAGACAUUUUUUCCUUUCCACCUUUGCAACACAACUUCUGUAUUUCCACAUCCAGCUCAGAAUAAUUGUUGCAACUUAUGUUAUCCAUACAAAGCUACUUGCUAUCAUAUGUUGGUGUUGACCUGACUUCAUCAUACCCCCAGCUCCUGCCUUUAGCUUAAACUCCUGCAAGGCCAGUUUAGUAGUUUGAAUGAACCUGUUACCUGUAAUACAGGUAUGAAGAGCAGCACUUCAUAGAAGUGCUAAAACAUAGACUUGCAAGAAGAAAAGAUUUAUUCUUGACUUAGGAGAUGUUACUUUAUGUAUAUUUUGGAAAAUUGAAGGGAAAUAAGUAGCCUUCCAUUCCUUUCCCUCCCCAAGCAAAGAAAUGAAGGCAUUUUGGAGGUGGAUAUUUGAGUUGUGCAGCAUGGAUGGGAUUAUUUAAUAAGUAUUCUUUCUUUUUCUUUCAUUACAUGAGGUUUUGCUUUUCUUGGAUCACACAAAUUCUUGUAAAAAUGUAACAAGCUACUAUUCUAAUAUGCCAAAUAAGAAACAGAUGGAUCUCCUUAAAGUAAUAGUUUAUCACUAAUAUCAAUUGGAUCUCACGUUUAGGGACCAGACACCUCUCUUUCCUCAUGCCAGCCUUCUUAGCCUGAACAAAGAGGCACUUCUAGCAAUGACUUGCACAUGACAGAGGAGAAAAAGGAGGGUUUAUUAGCUUCAAAAUAAAGCACAGCAUUUCUUCUCUUUUCACAAUGUAUUCUUAACAUGCUAUAGCCUUGACUAUUAUGUGCAAAGUUUUCUGUGGUCAACUGAUUUAAACAAAAAGUUUUACCCUGUUCCUUCACACUAACAAUUCAACUGGUGUAACUCCAUUUCUUCAGUAGAAUUCCUCUGACUUACGUGUGUGCCUUCCCACUUCAUACUAAGUAGAGCUAUGUUCAUGUGACUACAAAAGAGCCUUUUGAAUUAAGAAAAUAAGAGUUGGUAUAGUGUACAAUAGGGUGUACAAAGCACUCCUUAGAUGCCAAUGUAUGCGUUUUAGAUUAGACCUGGGUAAAAGCAAACAUGAGACGGACUCUGUGUUUCUUGACUGCUCCCAAAGGUAUUACAGCAAUACAUGUGAGCUGAACAAAAGAUGCUCUUCUGAAAAAUCAAAUAAAACUGAGAUGUUCCUUUACUACUGGUAUUUUCUUUUAUUUGGGGUAUUUCCAAAGUUGGACGGGUGGGAUGUACAGUACUUGUUUGUUGAUGGAAUGAUUACUUAACCUAGAUAAAGCACAUACAUACUGUUAUUUUAAUAAAAGAAAGUAGGCUCGUGUUUAGAAAGGAAAUAUAAUACAGUAAACAUCCUUUUGUACUGUUCUAGUUAUUUUUCUAAACUUGUGUCAAGCUUGAGAUAUUUGCCUUCCAAAAUAGAUUUUUUUGCAAGAGUCUGCAAGUUCUGUAAUACCUUUUCCAGUAUCUGCUGAGUGAGCCAAAGGUCUGUGGUCAAGUGGGCAUCUCAGUUACAACUCUUUAUUGAGCAUCUAAUGCAUUAGGCUUUAACUUGCAGAGACCUUUCUCUUCCACAGCAAAGCUGUUGAGCCUUUCAUUUUCGGCUUCAUCCUAGAUCCAAGGAAAACACCAGAAAAUGAUCCAGUCUCCCACUGAUGAUAUCUACAAGCCUCGGAUGUCCAUGAUGUUUUGGUGUAACUAUUCAAAGUGAACAGGAAGAUUUUUUUGUUGUUUUGUUUUAAAUUUGAUUUUAGAGCAACCUGGAAACACAUGGAAAGAACUUAUAAAGUUAAAACUGUAAACAUUUCCCUUAGAGCUUGAUUACUUCUUGGGAGUUAUUGAAGUCCUAUUAGGAUGUCUUAUAUAGAUUUUCUCACCUUUUUGUGCAUCCCUCCCUUAUACAUCUUAGAAUGACUUUUAAUUAAAAAUUUGUUAUGUCUACUUGUGUUUUCUAGAUGUUAUUACAGAAUCACA